UGCACAUUCAUGAUGGCCGCUGAUGUGCAUGCGCUACCUGGAGAAAGGCGGGACGGGUGGCCGGCGCUCGAGUCAGUACUGGCGAUGAUGAUGUUGAUGGUGAUGAUGCUGGAAAGGAGGACUUGAGGAAAAGAAAGAAACAGGAAUUUGUUCAUACCACUUCAGUGCCACACAGAAGGGAGACGGUGACCCCAGCAAAGGACAAACAAACAAGAUGUUCUCGCACUGCGGCAUACCCCAAACACGGAUCCUCCUUCAUCAUCGAUCCUAUGAGCACUAUCCGUUUCCACAAAAUCUGUGCUAAUGCAAUGAUGAAAACUCAUGACCAUUUUUAGAAGACAACAGCAACAACAUUUAAUAAAAGAGCUGUAAGAAUAAGCAUGGUGUCGUCCAGAGGUUUCGAGGAAGGGCUGUCCUGUGUUUGUGUUUCACCCUCCGGGAGGUGCCGUUAUUGUCCCUUUU